UUUCUACUCCCUCCGUCCGAAAAUACUUGUCAUCAAAAUGGAUAAAAGAGAUGUAUCUAAAACUAAAAUAUGUCUAGAUACAUUUCCUUUUAUCCAUUUUGAUGACAAGUAUUCCCGGACGGAGGGAGUAUUUG
rnacentral:pre_miRNA from 1 species